UGGGCAGGGGGUGGCACCCGGGC
rnacentral:miRNA from 1 species